AAGCCUCGAAAUAACGCACCUAAACAGCGUAAUUUUGACUAUUAAAUUAGUUGUCGCGAGGAGUACCGUGAUCACCCUCACGCUACUUUACUAUCACGCGAAUAGGGAAAAGCCGUGGAAAGCCCUAAUUGGCUGUCGCGCGUUAUACACCCUACUCGCCGAAUUCGCUCGGCUGCCAAAAGUGAGUUGACAGAUUCGGCAGUUUGUCGUGACCGCGAGUGUAAGUGUGACGAAGAGUUAGAUAGAGUCCUUUUCUCGAUAGAAAGGACUUGAAUUUUGUAAUUAAAGUUAUUGUUACAGGGACUUUUGUGGAAUGUCUGAGAUCAUCCAAUUACAAAGCAGACAAAUUGUUGAAAUUACUUUUCGAUGAAUUCGAGUCAUAUAUGGAGACGAAGCAAUAUACGGUGAAGAAAAGACUUGAUAAGGACCUGAACUAAGGUCAAAACGUUGUUUGAAUUUUGAAUAAAUAACUAAAGAAUAACAUUGCCAGUUGUGAUCGGUUUA